rfam:Ictidomys tridecemlineatus contig055353, whole genome shotgun sequence.
UGGGUUGUAGCUCAGUGGUAGAGCGCUCGCCUAGCAUAUGUGAGGCCCUGGGCUCCAUUCUCAGCAUCACAU